GACGAACGCUGGCGGCAUGCCUUGCACAUGCAAGUCGAACGGUAACAGGUCUUCGGAUGCUGACGAGUGGCGAACGGGUGAGUAAUACAUCGGAACGUGCCUAGUAGUGGGGGAUAACUACUCGAACGAGUGGCCAAUACCGCAUGAGAUCUACGGAUGAAAGCAGGGGAUCGCAAGACCUUGUGCUACUAGAGCGGCCGAUGGCAGUUUAGGGAGUUGGUGGGAUAAAAGCAUACCAAGCCGACGAUCUGUAGCUGGUCUGAGAGGACGAUCAGCCACACUGGGACGGAGACACGGGCCAGACUGCUACGGGAGGCAGCAGGUGGGAAUAUUGGACAAUGGGGGGAACCCUGAUCGAGCAAUGCCGCGUGCAGGAUGAAGGCCUGCGGGUUGUAAACUGCUUUUGUACGGAACGAAAAGCCCGGGGUUAAUACCCUGGGGUCAUGACGGUACCGUAAGAAUAAGCACCGGCUAACUACGUGCCAGCCGCCGCUGUAACAC
rnacentral:rRNA from 1 species